rnacentral:lncRNA from 1 species
ACAAACAAAUCAAUAUAUCUUCAUAUGAUGAUAUGAAUUAUAGUUUUUACACAAAUGAAUUAAAAUGUGUAUAGGUAUAAUUUUCAUAUUAAUAUUUUUAUAGUAACAUAGUUAUCACUAAGAUUAGUAUUUCCAUUUCAUUAUUUGAAUUCAUUAUAUGAUAGGUAGAUUAUUCAUAAUUUUCAUGUCUAAUGCUAAUGAUUAGCAUUAGUAUUGUUUUGUCAUUAUUUAAUUAUGUAAGAUCAACAUGCAUGUUGUGAUAAAUAUAAAGAAAAUUUAUAAUUUGGUGCAUAUUGGAUGUAAUAUAACUUAAAAAAAUUAACAAUAUAUUAGACUGAGAUCUUAAUUUCAUUAUGUGCUCAAAACCUUGUAUUGCAACUUUUUUUUAUAUAUUGUUUUACAAUCAAUGUUUGUAUUUGUAGAUAAUGAGGAAAAUUAAGCAUUCGGAAUGAUAUGAUCUAUAUUUAAUAGUUUGGUUAAAAUUUCAUAACAAGAAUCCUUUAAUAGAAACUGAUCAAUGAGAAAAAAAUUCCCCCCAUCCAAAUCAUUGUCAAACUUUAUUUUGAUGUCAAUUAUUUAAUUGCAGGUCACGAGAAGUAUUCUAAACAAAAACAGGAUUGUUCAUUCUACAUCAAGGUUUGAUUUAUUAUUUAAAAGCUAUAUAUUGUUUGGAAUUUUAUCAAAAAUAAUAAAAAGUAAUAAUUGAUUAAAUACUUCUUAUUUAUUAUCUACUUUUUGCUUUCUUAAUAAAAAUAUUUUUCUACCUAGAAUUGUUAUAAUAAAUUUUAACUAGUCCCUACUUCUUGCAUCUUGAAUAUAGGAUAUCAAAUAUACUAUUAUUGUCCACAAUUUUGAAAAGAGAAAAUAUGUUCUAACAAAAAACUUGUUGACUACAGAUUAUUCGAAAGGUUGUCUUCUUGCAAUCUUCUCAAAUAACACAUAUAUAUGUGCUUCACGAUUCUCGGAACAUCGGGCUUAUCCAAUAUAUAUGCCAAAAUUUGAGGUCUCCAUUGAAGAAUAUAAAAAAUUGUAUAGGAGCCGGGAGGUAUUUUUUAAAGAAGGAUUAUGCUUUCUUUUAUUUUAUAAUAGUUUGUAUAUAGGUGAUUGAUAUUGAAUUGGCUUGUUCCGAAAAUUUGCAGGCUAGGAAUCAUUAUAGGAAUACAUUGGCCGAAGACCUUCCUAGUUAUAUAAAGUUCCGUGAUGGUUGCCUAAAAGGAUCUAAUGAGGAGGUGGAUUUUCAGUUUGUAGCCAGGAUCCCCAUAUAUGCAUGGUGUAGGUAAAUCAAGCCUACAAUACCCAUAUCAUAUGAAACUAGUCACGAGGAUUAUUUGAAGUCAAUAUCUCAGUGGAAAUCUCAUGAAGAUGGUAGCAUCCCUUGUCCUUCCAAAAUUUUGGGUGGUUGCGGUGAAAACAUAUUAGAAUCGAAAAGUUUACACAAGGAUUCAGUUUCUGAAUUGUUGAUUGAAGCUGAGAAAUUGUCUAAGAAAUACAAACUUGUUCCAAUAAUUACCGGAGAGUGGUUCCCCUGUCUAAAUUUAGCUUCUGUAAUUAUUGUAAAAAAAUAAGUCUAAUAUAGAUGAUAUAUAUGUGUAUUCAAAUUUCUGAAAGAAGCAUAGCCAAUC